GAACAACUGAUCACCCAGAAGCAGGAAAUAGUGGAAAAGUGUGAAUUAGAAAAUAUAGUCCUCCCCACUAUCUCAGACCCCAUGGAGACUGAAUCCUUGACUCCUGGCCCAGUUUUUGAUUUUAGCCAGCUGAUUAAAUCCUAUGAACUGGAUAAGAAAUCAUCUGAUAGAGAUAAACUUGAGACAAAGUUUAAACGUGAGAUAGAUGC
rnacentral:misc_RNA from 1 species